rnacentral:tRNA from 1 species
CCUCUCGUGGCGUAGGGGUAACGAACCUAUCUAGCAAACAGGGAGUCGUGAGUUCGAUUCUCACCGAGAAGU